GAUGAACGCUGACAGAAUGCUUAACACAUGCAAGUCAACUUGAACUUCGGUUUGGGCGGCGGACGGGUGAGUAACGCGUAAAGAACUUGCCUCACAGUUAGGGACAACAUUUGGAAACGAAUGCUAAUACCUGAUAUUAUGAUUUUAGGGCAUCCUAGAAUUAUGAAAGCUAUAUGCGCUGUGAGAGAGCUUUGCGUCCCAUUAGCUAGUUGGAGAGGUAACGGCUCACCAAGGCGAUGAUGGGUAGCCGGCCUGAGAGGGUGAACGGCCACAAGGGGACUGAGACACGGCCCUUACUCCUACGGGAGGCAGCAGUGGGGAAUAUUGGACAAUGGACCAAGAGUCUGAUCCAGCAAUUCUGUGUGCACGAUGAAGUUUUUCGGAAUGUAAAGUGCUUUCAGUUGGGAAGAAAAAAAUGACGAUACCAACAGAAGAAGUGACGGCUAAAUACGUG
rnacentral:rRNA from 1 species